rnacentral:rRNA from 1 species
UGGGGAAUAUUGGACAAUGGGCGCAAGCCUGAUCCAGCCAUGCCGCGUGUGUGAAGAAGGCCUUUUGGUUGUAAAGCACUUUAAGCGUGGAGGAGGCUACUUGGAUUAAUACUCUAGGAUAGUGGACGUUACUCGCAGAAUAAGCACCGGCUAACUCUGUGCCAGCAGCCGCGGUAAUACAGAGGGUGCGAGCGUUAAUCGGAUUUACUGGGCGUAAAGCGUGCGUAGGCGGCUUCUUAAGUCGGAUGUGAAAUCCCUGGGCUUAACUUAGGAAUUGCAUUCGAUACUGGGAAGCUAGAGUAUGGGAGAGGAUGGUAGAAUUCCAGGUGUAGCGGUGAAAUGCGUAGAGAUCUGUAGUAAUACCGAUGGCGAAGGCAGCCAUCUGGCCUAAUACUGACGCUGAGGUACGAAAGCAUGGGGAGCAAACAGG